UGGGGAAUUUUGGACAAUGGGCGAAAGCCUGAUCCAGCAAUGCCGCGUGUGUGAAGAAGGCCUUCGGGUUGUAAAGCACUUUUGUCCGGAAAGAAAUCCUUGGCUCUAAUACAGUCGGGGGAUGACGGUGCCGGAAGAAUAAGCACCGGCUAACUACGUGCCAGCAGCCGCGGUAAUACGUAGGGUGCAAGCGUUAAUCGGAAUUACUGGGCGUAAAGCGUGCGCAGGCGGUUUGCUAAGACCGAUGUGAAAUCCCCGGGCUCAACCUGGGAACUGCAUUGGUGACUGGCAGGCUAGAGUAUGGCAGAGGGGGGUAGAAUUCCACGUGUAGCAGUGAAAUGCGUAGAGAUGUGGAGGAAUACCGAUGGCGAAGGCAGCCCCCUGGGCCAAUACUGACGCUCAUGCACGAAAGCGUGGGGAGCAAACAGGAUUAGAUACCCUGGUAGUCCACGCCCUAAACGAUGUCAACUAGUUGUUGGGGAUUCAUUUCCUUAGUAACGUAGCUAACGCGUGAAGUUGACCGCCUGGGGAGUACGGUCGCAA
rnacentral:rRNA from 1 species